AAGCCGCCGCCGCCACCACCGCCUCACCCAAGCUUUCAUUUGUCAUGCUGGUUGCCCCCGCCUUAUCGUGUAAUGCCAUGUUGCCCCCGCAUCAUCAUCUAAGAUUUCGUUUGUCGUCCGCGCUGCAGUCUGCUUCCCGUUUCACUCUUAUAUUUUUUUGUUGGACGGAGUUGUUUUGCAUCGUUUCGAUCUGUACCGUACUGUUUCCCCUCUUGUUCAUAACGGCGGCGACACAAAUUCUUGCGUGCUGCGCCGCUCACGCAAGGAGGGAUAAAUCGACUCGUCAAGAAAUCGUUUCAGUUGCCAUGACUCCAGUAGGCAAUAUGAUUGUUGCUUGACUACAGUUUUGUCUUCCACUACUUAGCUUAUUUGUUUGUUUUAUUCUUACCUCGCCCGUAUUUUCUUUGUUUUAUUCUUACCUCGCUCCCGAUUUUAAGAUCUAAUUUGGUAUCUGCACGGUGCUUACCCCGGGCUUGUCGGAUGUACUUGAAGAAGGAAGCCCCAAUGUCUGUGCUAGAUCCACUAUGCCAUUCAGUGUUGCAGGCCCUGAUGAAUUUUGUGAUUGGUCUGUGUCAAAGCAAUGGAUACAAAUUUUCGUAAUAGACCAUUUCUUUAUUAUGUUUGGUUUGAUGAUUCGUUUGAUUGAUUGAUGGCAGUGAUUUGACAUUACCCGCGCUUCUGAUCUAACCCGUGAAGCAAAGGGAAAAUUAAUGGUUGAAUUUCUUAAUAUGAGCCAUCUAGUGAUCUUUCAGCUGUCUCCUUUUAUUUUGUGCGUGAGCUCAUUUCAUUCAUGUGGUUGAUUUGGCGGUGAUGAUACAACCAUUCAGCUUACAACGCCAGUUCUGCUUCUGAUAAGUCAUGACAGAUAAAGCUGAUUCAUAUCUGAGCCUUGAUUUGUGUCAUGUUCUGACAAACUCAUAAUUAGGAUCAUGCAUUUUUUCUUGCUCCAAACCUUACAUCCCGUUGGCCACUGAAGUCAACCCAAUGUUUCGAGGCUACAAUCGGCUCCAACUACAUGCUUGUCAGGCGGUAUCAUAAACUGAUUUUUUGUGGUUCAGUUAGACGAGAGCGAUGAAGAGCAACUUUUGUGAACUAGAGUUUCAGAUGCUACCAUGGUGACUUUUUUCUGGGAUGGAGCUCAUAUUUGCAGGUGAUUGAUUCAUCUUGGGGCUGAGAUUGAAAUAGGGUAUUUCAGUGAUUCAAAAUAAUUCUUGGUGUACAUCAUCAUUAGUUUUGUAUUGUUUUAUUUACACA
rnacentral:lncRNA from 1 species